rnacentral:rRNA from 1 species
AAUCAACGCUGGCGGCGCGCUUAACACAUGCAAGUCGCACGAGAAAGGGAGCAAUCCUGAGUAAAGUGGCGUACGGGUGAGUAACACGUGGGAAUCUACCUCUUGGCGGGGAAUAACCCUGGGAAACCGGGGCUAAUACCGCAUAAGCUCGUGAGAGGAAAGCAGCAAUGCACCGAGAGAGGAGCCCGCGGCCGAUUAGCUAGUUGGUGGGGUAAUGGCUCACCAAGGCGAAGAUCGGUAGCCGGCCUGAGAGGGCACACGGCCACACUGGCACUGAAACACGGGCCAGACUCCGACGGGAGGCAGCAGUGGGGAAUCUUGCACAAUGGGGGAAACCCUGAUGCAGCGACGCCGCGUGAGCGAUGAAGCCCUUCGGGGUGUAAAGCUCUUUCGACAGGAACGAUAAUGACGGUACCUGGAGAAGAAGCUGCGGCUAACUACGUG